rnacentral:rRNA from 1 species
UGACCUCGGAUCAGGUAGGGAUACCCGCUGAACUUAAGCAUAUCAAUAAGCGGAGGAAAAGAAACCAACCGGGAUUGCCUCAGUAACGGCGAGUGAAGCGGCAAGAGCUCAAAUUUGAAAGCUGGCUCCUUCGGGGUCCGCAUUGUAAUUUGCAGAGGAUGCUUCGGGUGCGGCCCCUGUCUAAGUGCCCUGGAACGGGCCGUCAGAGAGGGUGAGAAUCCCGUCUGGGAUGGGGUGUCCGCGCCCGUGUGAAGCUCCUUCGACGAGUCGAGUUGUUUGGGAAUGCAGCUCUAAAUGGGUGGUAAAUUUCAUCUAAAGCUAAAUACUGGCCGGAGACCGAUAGCGCACAAGUAGAGUGAUCGAAAGAUGAAAAGCACUUUGAAAAGAGAGUUAAAAAGCACGUGAAAUUGUUGAAAGGGAAGCGCUUGCGACCAGACUCGCCUCCAGGGUUCAGCCGGCAUUCGUGCCGGUGUACUUCCCUGGGGGCGGGCCAGCGUCGGUUUGGGCGGCCGGUCAAAGGCUCCCGGAAUGUAGUGCCCUCCGGGGCACCUUAUAGCCGGGAGUGCAAUGCGGCCAGCCUGGACCGAGGAACGCGCUUCGGCACGGACGCUGGCAUAAUGGUCGUAAACGAC